rnacentral:tRNA from 1 species
GCCCAUUUGGCUCAGUAGAUAGAGCAUUAGCCUGCAGACUGAAGGGUCCCAGGUUCAAUUCUUGGUUGUGGGCU